UUAAGUUCAGCGGGUAUUCCUACCUGAUCCGAGGUCAACCAUAGAAGUGUUUUCCGGCCGAGGACGCCCUGCACCAGAACGAGAUGUAUUACUACGUUCAGCUUCGGGGCGAGCUCGCCGCUGUCUUUAGGGGGCUGCAUCGCAGGACCCCAACGCCAGGCAGAGCCUGAGGGUUGAAAUGACGCUCGAACAGGCAUGCC
rnacentral:misc_RNA from 1 species